rnacentral:rRNA from 1 species
AGAGUUUGAUCCUGGCUCAGAGCGAACGCUGGCGGCAGGCUUAACACAUGCAAGUCGAGCGGGCGUAGCAAUACGUCAGCGGCAGACGGGUGAGUAACGCGUGGGAACGUACCUUUUGGUUCGGAACAACCCAGGGAAACUUGGGCUAAUACCGGAUAAGCCCUUACGGGGAAAGAUUUAUCGCCGAAAGAUCGGCCCGCGUCUGAUUAGCUAGUUGGUGAGGUAAUGGCUCACCAAGGCGACGAUCAGUAGCUGGUCUGAGAGGAUGAUCAGCCACAUUGGGACUGAGACACGGCCCAAACUCCUACGGGAGGCAGCAGUGGGGAAUAUUGGACAAUGGGCGCAAGCCUGAUCCAGCCAUGCCGCGUGAGUGAUGAAGGCCCUAGGGUUGUAAAGCUCUUUUGUGCGGGAAG